rnacentral:lncRNA from 1 species
GAUUAAUGUUACUUUUCAUUCUUUCACAUGUUAGGUGGUUGCCUUUUUGAUGAGCCAUACAGCACAUGUGGAUAUAGUCAAGCUGAAGAUGAUGACUUCAAUUGGGAGCAAGUGAACACCUUGACCAAACCAACUUCUGAUCCAUGGAUGCCAUCAGGUUUGCUUUUAGUGUUAAGUUUUCUUUUUAAAGUAAAGGGAACCCAAGAGUAUUAAUCAAUGUUCACUGGAUAGUGUUGAAUGAUGGAGGGUGUUUUCUUUGAGUGUGAC